rnacentral:lncRNA from 1 species
GCCUUAAAUUUUCAACUCUUAAAAAUAUGAAUUGACAUUCCUACUAACUCAAAGGAUGUAUCAUAGACACAAUAUACACAAUGUGAUAGAAGAAUAACCCAUUUAUUAAUUUAUAAUCAAAAUUAUGAAUUUGCCCUUAGAUUUGUACAGGAAUGUGUCAGCCAAUCUGGCAUCUAGGGCACACAUCUAACAAACUCCCACUUGACCUAAUACCAAUUGGCUACAUAUCUAAGUCCCAUCUUCUCAAGGUGGGCUUCAAUCUUUU